rnacentral:rRNA from 1 species
UACGUAGGCGGCAAGCGUUGUCCGGAAUUAUUGGGCGUAAAGGGAGCGCAGGCGGGAAACUAAGCGGAUCUUAAAAGUGCGGGGCUCAACCCCGUGAUGGGGUCCGAACUGGUUUUCUUGAGUGCAGGAGAGGAAAGCGGAAUUCCCAGUGUAGCGGUGAAAUGCGUAGAUAUUGGGAAGAACACCAGUGGCGAAGGCGGCUUUCUGGACUGUAACUGACGCUGAGGCUCGAAAGCUAGGGUAGCGAACGGGAUUAGAUACCCCGGUAGUCCUAGCCGUAAACGAUGGAUACUAGGUGUGGGAGGUAUCGACCCCUUCCGUGCCGGAGUUAACGCAAUAAGUAUCCCGCCUGGGGAGUACGGCCGCAAGGUUGAA